GACGAACCGUGCGAACGUUGUUCGGAAUCACUGGGCUUAAAGGGCGCGUAGGCGGGUCGAAAAGUCCGUGGUGAAAUCCCCCCGCUCAACGGGGGAACGGCCGCGGAUACUGUCGGCCUCGAGGGAGGUAGGGGCGAGCGGAACGCUGGGUGGAGCGGUGAAAUGCGUAGAGAUGUGGAGGAACACCGAUGGCGAAGGCAGCCCCCUGGGUCAAGAUUGACGCUCAUGCACGAAAGCGUGGGGAGCAAACAGG
rnacentral:rRNA from 1 species